rnacentral:lncRNA from 1 species
CGAGGAGGUGAAUACUUUUUCAAUAAAUUUUUGACAUAUCUAGAAGAGAAUAGAAUUCUCUUGCAAUGGAUACCUCCUGAGAGGAGAAAUCAAAUUCUGUUAGAUAUGGUUCAGUCUAUGAUGGAAUUUGCAAGUCUGUCGAUCUCUUUUUGAGAUUAUGCUCUUGAGACUACAUGUUAUAUUCUGAAUAACGUUUCAAGCAAAUCAAUCACUAGAACUCUAUAUGAGAUAUAGAUUGGGAGUAGACUGAUACCCUCUUACCU